UCCUCCAUCGCAUCUCAUCGGGACCUUUCCUACCUGAUUGGCCGCCGCCGCCAUCAUCCAGCCCGUCCUUGUCUCCCAGGGUAUCCAUGUGGCCUUCUUCUCCUAUCUGACGAGCGCCGCCCCCUCUUCACAAGCGAGAUCCCAGCCGCCCCCUAACCCAAGAUCCAGUCCGCUAGAACGCCGCGCUCUGCUCAACGGUGGGAACGGAGCCGCCAGACUGAACAAUGGGAUCGGAGAACCUCCUAUCCCACCUCCUGUCAUUGUCGUGUCUCACCGGGGUUCAUCAUAGCUGAUCCGCCAUUCUCUUGAGCAGAAGGGACCUACGUUCCCUCUCGAGUUCAAGGAGCAGGAGUGGUUCCCCGACAUCGGCAGCCGCAGCUCACGAGCUACGCGGGAUUCUACAAGACAGUUGGCACGCGCCAAAGCAGAAGGGCACAUGUGGAGCUUUUGACGAUGACGGGGACUAACUCAUUGUCUGUGAUCUUUGACGAGAUAUCUGAAAUAAACAGUUUGUAACUACAGUAUAUAUGUGUGAUAAUGUAGUAAUAUUUAUGCAUGUAUGCAAAGUAUAUUCUGGCAUCUUUGCUAAGCUGCCGAUGAGCAUAUGAAACUGUAAUGCAAUUCGAGGAAAUAAUUCCAUAAUGACAUGGGUUUCAGGCAUGCGAUGAGUUUGCAUGUUGCAUGUGUUCUGUUCA